UACGUAGGGGGCGAGCGUUGCCCGGAUUCAUUGGGCGUAAAGGGCGCGUAGGCGGCAUGCCAAGCGUGUGGUGAAAGCCCGGGGCUCAACCCCGGGUCGGCCGUGCGGACUGGCGUGCUCGAGCACUGUAGGGGCGGGUGGAAUUCCGGGUGUAGCGGUGGAAUGCGUAGAGAUCCGGAAGAACACCGGUGGCGAAGGCGGCCCGCUGGGCAGGAAGGCUCGCAAGAGCCGGCUGACGCUGAGGCGCGACAGCGUGGGGAGCAAACAGG
rnacentral:rRNA from 1 species